AGAGUUGAUCAUGGCUCAGGAUGAACGCUAGCGGCAGGCUUAACACAUGCAAGUCGAGGGGCAGCGUGGAGUAGCAAUACUCUGACGGCGACCGGCGAAAGGGUGAGUAACGCGUGAGCAACAUGCCCGGUACCGGGGGAUAGUCGAUGGAAACGUCGCGUAAUACCCCGUAACAACAGAGGCCGCAUGACCUUUGUUUAAGAGAUUUAUCGCUACCGGAUUGGCUCGCGUCCCAUUAGGCAGUUGGCGGGGUAACGGCCCACCAAACCGACGAUGGGUAGGGGUUCUGAGAGGAAGGUCCCCCACAUUGGAACUGAGACACGGUCCAGACUCCUACGGGAGGCAGCAGUGAGGAAUAUUGGACAAUGGCCGAGAGGCUGAUCCAGCCAUGCCGCGUGCGGGAGGACGGCCCCUAUGGGUUGUAAACCGCUUUUGUUGGAGAGCAAUAAGGUCCACGUGUGGAUCGAUGAGAGUAUCCAGCGAAUAAGCAUCGGCUAACUCCGUGCCAGCAGCUGC
rnacentral:rRNA from 1 species